GGCGCUGUGGCUCAAGUGGUAGAGUGUCAGCCUUGAGCUGAAGAGCUGAGGGACAGCGCCC
rnacentral:tRNA from 1 species